rnacentral:rRNA from 1 species
GACGAACGCUGGCGGCGUGCUUAACACAUGCAAGUCGAACGAUGAAGCCCAGCUUGCUGGGUGGAAGAGUGGCGAACGGGUGAGUAACACGUGAGUAACCUGCCCAUCACUCUGGGAUAAGCGCUGGAAACGGCGUCUAAUACUGGAUAUGAACAGCGGCCGCAUGGUCAGUUGUUGGAAAGAUUUAUUGGUGAUGGAUGGACUCGCGGCCUAUCAGCUAGUUGGUGAGGUAAUGGCUCACCAAGGCGACGACGGGUAGCCGGCCUGAGAGGGUGACCGGCCACACUGGGACUGAGACACGGCCCAGACUCCUACGGGAGGCAGCAGUGGGGAAUAUUGCACAAUGGGCGCAAGCCUGAUGCAGCAACGCCGCGUGAGGGAUGACGGCCUGGUGUAACGU